AUAAGCAGCCAUAUCACCCUGCAACUCACAACUGGCAACCCACUGAAGCUAAGCAGGUGUGAGCCUGGUCAGUACCUGGAUGGGAGACCUCCUGGGAAAAUCUAAGGUUGCUGCUGGAA
ensembl:rRNA 5S_rRNA 5S ribosomal RNA